UACGUAGGGUCCGAGCGUUGUCCGGAAUUACUGGGCGUAAAGAGCUCGUAGGUGGUUUGUCGCGUUGUUCGUGAAAACUCACAGCUUAACUGUGGGCGUGCGGGCGAUACGGGCAGACUAGAGUGAUGUAGGGGAGACUGGAAUUCCUGGUGUAGCGGUGAAAUGCGCAGAUAUCAGGAGGAACACCGGUGGCGAAGGCGGGUCUCUGGGCCGAUACUGACGCUGAGGAGCGAAAGCGUGGGGAGCAAACAGG
rnacentral:rRNA from 1 species